rnacentral:rRNA from 1 species
UACAGGGGGUGCAAACGUUGCUCGGAAUUAUUGGGCGUAAAGCGCGCGUAGGCGGCUUCUUAAGUCGGAUGUGAAAGCCCCUGGCUCAACUGGGGAAGUGCACCCGAAACUGAGUGGCUUGAAUACAAAAGAGGGUCGCGGAAUUCCCGGUGUAGAGGUGAAAUUCGUAGAUAUCGGAAGGAACAUCAGUGGCGAAGGCGACUUCCUGGACCAAUACUGACGCUCAGGUGCGAAAGCGUGGGGAGCAAACAGG